CUCUCCUUAGCUCAGCUGGCAGAGCGGUAGACUGUAAAUGUGUACAAGAUUAUCUAUAGGUCCUCGGUUCAAAUCCG
rnacentral:tRNA from 1 species